ensembl:lncRNA
GUCACUGCUGAGUUAGUAAUAACCUUAUUUAAAAAACAAAAUGCGCUACGUCUGCUCUCUUUCUUUCCCCUUGCCCCAAACCAGUCACACCCGAUUGAUGCCCCACCCUGAGCCUGGUUCUGCUGUUCUCCCUUCCUGUUUCAAGGGAGUUUCUCCUUCACCUAGGAGGUUACAGUGUUUUUGCCCUACAAUAUACAAACUGCUGUUGUGAGUUUGCGCUAUAUAAGUAAAAUUGAGUUAGUAUAAAAUUUAAUUCGAUCGGAAUCUUUAUGGGAUGUUGGAGAAGCUGGUAUCACCUUUUUGAUUUUUUUUUUUUUUUAAUCUGUGGUGCACAUAUUUACAACUGAAUUUUCUUUAAUGUUAAACAAUGAGCUGUUAGCGCCCCACACUGCAUUGGGUCUGUUAGUAAACUGAUAAUAAAGUCUAUUGAUACUAAUAGCUAUCUUUAUUCCUCCGCUGUAUCCAUAUAACCGGAAAGUGCCAUUCGGGGGGUGGGCUGUGACCAUAAACAGCAGAGAAAGAUAGGAACAGCAGUGAGAGGUGUUGUUUUGACCAUCAUUUGCUAUUCACACACUUCCUGAACAUCUAGUGAUUCGACCCCGCCCACUGUCAGAUCAGCAGCCUGAUAACAUGAGAAAACACUCCUUUUAGACAGGUGCGGCUGAGCACAAACAACAUAAGCAUUUUAAAGGAAAAUCAGUUAAAAGUUAUUUUUUUAUUCUGAAAUACACACAGUGGCACCAGUUUCAACACACGGAAACAGGUUUACACCCUUUCAGAUAAUACCUUUGAAUUUUUGCGGUGCUGAGCAAACGCAGCAUGACACAGUGUGAUGAAUGAAACCACUGAGGACUUGUUUAAGAAGUACUUCACAGAUGGAGCAUUAUCUUUCUUAGGAGGGCAGUUGACACAACAGAGCCCCCCUCCUGAGAUCAGUAGUCCCCCAGCCAAUGUAAAGGGAAGCACCAAGCUCUCUUUUCUAGGCGUCUACUACCAUGGGUUUGUAAAAGUCCCUUAUGGUGAUGCUGGCAGCCCAGGAAACAUCAAUAGUGCAGAGUAGACCAAUGAUGAUCAGCAGCACAACACCUGUCACUGAGGCCCUAUCUUUGGCUCUCUCCUCUGGAAUGAAGUUUGUACAUUUCCCUCCAGCAGAAGCUGCGAGGAGCCCUG